GUUUAAACUUUUUAAGUUUUUGAAACUUUAUUUUUUUUUUCAAAAAA
rnacentral:tRNA from 1 species